rnacentral:tRNA from 1 species
GGAGAGGUGACCGAGCGGUUGAUGGUAGCUGUCUUGAAAACAGCCAGGCGCGAGCCUCGUGGGUUCGAAUCCCACCCUCUCCGCCA